GACGAACGCUGGCGGCGUGCCUAACACAUGCAAGUCGAACGGAAAGGCCCUGCUUUUGUGGGGUGCUCGAGUGGCGAACGGGUGAGUAACACGUGAGUAACCUGCCCUUGACUUUGGGAUAACUUUAGGAAACUGGGGCUAAUACCGGAUAGGAGCUCCUGCUGCAUGGUGGGGGUUGGAAAGUUUCGGCGGUUGGGGAUGGACUCGCGGCUUAUCAGCUUGUUGGUGGGGUAGUGGCUUACCAAGGCUUUGACGGGUAGCCGGCCUGAGAGGGUGACCGGCCACAUUGGGACUGAGAUACGGCCCAGACUCCUACGGGAGGCAGCAGUGGGGAAUAUUGCACAAUGGGCGGAAGCCUGAUGCAGCAACGCCGCGUGCGGGAUGACGGCCUUCGGGUUGUAAACCGCUUUCGCCUGUGACGAAGCGUGAGUGACGGUAAUGGGUAAAGAAGCACCGGCUAACUACGUG
rnacentral:rRNA from 1 species